CAUUGAUCUGACGCUAAAAUGACAGCUCCCGGCAGCAGUUUCACAGGUCAUGGCAAGAUCUGAUUGAUUUAACAGAGUGGAGAAUGCUUUCAGUAAGCAGAUGUGAUGAAUUCAGAGAGAGAGAGAGGGGGAACAUAAAUUAAACAAGAGCCUAAAAGUAGAGCCAGGGACAAGUGAUCAAGUGAUGCCCUCAACAACCCCUCAGCCCCCUCAUCCCCCUCAUCCCACGCUGUGCUCUCUCCCUCCCUCUCUGUGCAUGGGGAAGGCACAGGGCUCUCUCAGCUCGCUGCUGGUCCCAGUUGGCCACUCAUGAUGGUCAGUCCACCUACGCCACAGUGUUUUUGCCAGUUGCAGAAAAAGUACAGGCAGCAACAAUUGUAAUCAGGAUGCAUGGGAGAGGAGAGCCAUCAAAGCUAUUUCUUGAGCAAAUUCUCCAUUCCACAUAGACUCACACAAACCCUCUGAAGUUGGCACGUGACUAAUUAGCAUCGAGAUUUUGCCAAAGCUGUUUACGCUUUCUGUGUCUCUGUCUGUCACACCCCCCUCUGUGGGGAAGAGUAAAUGAAUGGUGUAGCCUCCAGUAGCAGCUGGAGAAAGUCAGCGAUAAUGUCAAGAAACAGCUGGAGCAAGUUCACCUCAUUUAAGGCAUGACACACUCACUUGUUUACUUAUGACUCAUAUGCACACAUCUCCGCAUACAUUGCUGUGUCACGUGAAUCCAACCAAGCUAAUUACCUAAUUGGUGCAUAUGCAGUGUUUGUGUGUACAUAUCUGCAUGUUUAACAGGGAAGUAUACCAGCAGGAAUCCACUGACAGGAUGCUGAUUCUAGCGAAUGAUAUCCAUUCUUCUUUUACACACAGUACUGUAUGUGCUUACAAUCCAAACAGCUUGUCAAAGUGGGGAAAAAAAAAUCCACAUAAUCUCAUUGUAAUGGAUACAGUUCGGGGUUUCUCACACAAAACAUUUUUUCGGAGUAACAUCACAGCUGUCCCAGUUUUCUCCAGUUUGGGGGAGUGCCCGC